rnacentral:rRNA from 1 species
UACAGAGGUCUCAAGCGUUGUUCGGAUUCAUUGGGCGUAAAGGGUGCGUAGGCGGCGCGGUAAGUCGGGUGUGAAAUCUCGGAGCUUAACUCCGAAACUGCAUUCGAUACUGCCGUGCUUGAGGACUGGAGAGGAGACUGGAAUUUACGGUGUAGCGGUGGAAUGCGUAGAUAUCAGGAAGAACACCGGUGGCGAAGGCGGCUCGCUGGGCCAGUUCUGACACUCAUCCGCGAAAGCGUGGGGGAGCAAACAGG